rnacentral:rRNA from 1 species
AUUCAAGUUAAUUUGAAGAAAGUAAGGGCGUACAGUGAAUGCCUUGGCAC